UACGGAGGGGGUUAGCGUUGUUCGGAAUUACUGGGCGUAAAGCGUACGUAGGCGGAUCAGAAAGUUAGGGGUGAAAUCCCGAGGCUCAACCUCGGAACUGCCUCUAAAACUCCUGGUCUUGAGUUCGAGAGAGGUGAGUGGAAUUCCAAGUGUAGAGGUGAAAUUCGUAGAUAUUUGGAGGAACACCAGUGGCGAAGGCGGCUCACUGGCUCGAUACUGACGCUGAGGUACGAAAGCGUGGGGAGCAAACAGG
rnacentral:misc_RNA from 1 species